AUGGGAGAGGAGGUGCAUAGGCACCAAGUGGUUAAACUCUGCGGACUGAUGGAGCUGCAGUAACUUUAUCGCCACCUGCUGGGGAAGUUUUGUAUAGCGCGAUGUUCGAACCCGAGAAAUCAGCACGUGACUCACUUCCGGUCCCAUCAAUCUCCCUUGAACUUUCUGCUGCUGCUGCUAUUGGUGUUGUUGUUCAGCUGCCCAGGUGCCCCGUGUUCCCACACAAUAUACAACAGCAGCAGCAGCAGCAGCAGCUCAUUCUCUCAGUGCUGAGCCCAUGGGAAACCUACAAAUUGUACCAGGCUGCAUGCUUAACGCGUUUCGUGGCUUCCUCAGAAGCUUCUACGUGUAACUGCUGGUAUCGCGGUGGAUGUGAUGCACAUGGGAGACACUUGUGAUACUGGACAAGUUCGGGUGGAGAAGACCUUCUGGACUUAAAAGUGGCAUAAAUGCUGUGCAACAGGCAGGUGCUGGUUUUUAUAUAACUUUUUUUCAAGCUCUUUUACAUGACAAUG